ACUGCUGACGACCGGCGCACGGGUGCGUAACGCGUAUACAAUCUGCCUUGUACUGAGGGAUAGCCUUUGGAAACGAAGAUUAACACCUCAUAGUAUUGCGACAUCGCAUGGUGAUGCAAUUAAAGGUUACGGUACAAGAUGAGUAUGCGUCCUAUUAGCUAGAUGGAGUGGUAACGGCACCCCAUGGCGACGAUAGGUAGGGGCCCUGAGAGGGGGAUCCCCCACACUGGUACUGAGACACGGACCAGACUCCUACGGGAGGCAGCAGUGAGGAAUAUUGGACAAUGGAGGCAACUCUGAUCCAGCCAUGCCGCGUGCAGGAAGACUGCCCUAUGGGUUGUAAACUGCUUUUAUACAGGAAGAAACAGAACUACGUGUAGUUCCUUGACGGUACUGUAAGAAUAAGGAUCGGCUAACUCCGUGCCAGCAGCCGCGGUAAUACGGAGGAUCCAAGCGUUAUCCGGAAUCAUUGGGUUUAAAGGGUCCGUAGGUGGAUAAUUAAGUCAGAGGUGAAAUCCUGCAGCUCAACUGUAGAAUUGCCUUUGAUACUGGUUAUCUUGAGUUAUUAUGAAGUAGUUAGAAUAUGUAGUGUAGCGGUGAAAUGCAUAGAUAUUACAUAGAAUACCAAUUGCGAAGGCAGAUUACUAAUAAUAUACUGACACUGAUGGACGAAAGCGUGGGGAGCGAACAGGAUUAGAUACCCUGGUAGUCCACGCCGUAAACGAUGGUCACUAGCU
rnacentral:rRNA from 1 species